rnacentral:antisense_RNA from 1 species
CUUGAGCGACCCGAUCCACAGCGGUUCGGCGCGGUCCUGGCCGUAGGUGGCCAGCAGCGCGCCCGCCUC